CGUGACUGUGAUAAGAUGAGUGUUCCCCUCCACUUCUUUCAGGACGAGCCGCGGCCCGUUUACGCCAUCACCGACUACGAUCGAUCACGUGACUCUUCCCCCGCCACAUGUCGAUGACCUACACUCGGCGUUGCUUUCCCGUGCGAUUGGCCGCUGCCGAGCGCUAUUUGGAAACGCCACAGGCGAUCCGGGUUAAAGUCGAAAUUCCGAGCGUAAAACGCUCGCCGAUACGUUCCAUGAUAAGUCGGUUUUUUGCCUCUCUCGAGUCACGAUUGUGAAAACAUUGGUGAGAUAUAUAUUCUACGUAGUAUUCUGAGCCAAUCGGGAAAGUUCAAACGCUCUCUUUCGAUGAGUUUCAGAACGCGCCGAUCUCGCCGGAGUUUGUCCACGGUCUUGCGCAACGAGUGGUAAUUCUGAAGAUACACAAGAUGAAAUUUAAUUUAGUUUCUCCUCAUUAGCAAUUCUACGUUCUACAUUUUGACGAUUAAAUCGUCAAGAACUGAUUUGCAUCUUUUGCAACGUAAGCGCAGCCAAUCAGCGUGCAGGUCAACAUACAUUGGUAUACUGAUUGAUUCGCAUUUUACUCAAUCGUGAUAUAUAAUCAUACGGGAAACCCCUUCCUCGAUCGAUCGUCAGAAGCUAAUCAUUCGAUUGCUCGAUUCGACGCAGAAUAAUGAAUGAGAUUAUGUAAUUAUUUAUUUUUCUUCUUGGACGGUGGACUCUCUAAGGACAAGGAGUGGCUGUGUAGUCAUUAUACCUACUUAUAGAUUCUAAUUGAAUAAUACCUGCGAACCAACCAGCGCAUGGGUCAACGUUAUCUCGCAACAUUGAUCUGUCUACACGUGUUACUCAAGUCGAGCGUAUAAACAGGUGGCAUUAGAGUGAUGAACUUUUGAAUACUGUGAGCCCAGUAGCCAGUACUGCAGUCCAUUUUACCCAGAGUGACAAUGGCGUUUUUCGCAUAAGUUGUGG
rnacentral:lncRNA from 13 species